AUUUUGGCUCUAGAUCGUUACCAGCUUUCUUGGUAGAGAAUGGAAAUUUGGGGCUUUCAUGGAACCCUAGAAACCAAACGGUGGGUGUGAGCUCAAAAACAGAAGGUGAGGUUGGAGCCAUUUUCUCUACAAUAUGAACCUUCUUGGGCUCAAAAACGAGUGUCCAAUUCCAAUCAAAAGUGCAAUCCUACAAAGUUUGUGACAGGGGACUGUGGUGGAUCUACCAGCAAAUAUCGCACUCUUAUUGCUGAUACACAGUGGUAGGUGUUUUGUCCAAGUCUCAAGCCAACAAUCCUUUUUGAUCAGUAUAUCUAGUAAAAGUAAGA